rnacentral:tRNA from 1 species
UUUCGCUUAGCUUAAGUUCAAAGCGUCAGUUUGAAGCACUGGAGUUAACUUGUUGUUAGAGUGAU